rnacentral:tRNA from 2 species
GCCGAGGUGGCGGAAUUGGUAGACGCGCUAGCUUCAGGUGCUAGUGGCCUUAUGGUCGUGGAGGUUCAAGUCCUCUUCUCGGCACCA